rnacentral:rRNA from 1 species
GACGAACGCUGGCGGCGUGCCUAACACAUGCAAGUCGAGCGAGGAGAGUUCCUUCGGGAACAAACCUAGCGGCGGACGGGUGAGUAACACGUGGGCAACCUGCCUUGUAGAGGGAAUAGCCUUCCGAAAAGGAAGAUUAAUACCGCAUAACAUUACAGUUUCGCAUGAAACAGUAAUUAAAGGAGUAAUCCGCUACAAGAUGGGCCCGCGGCGCAUUAGCCAGUUGGUGAGGUAACGGCUCACCAAGGCGACGAUGCGUAGCCGACCUGAGAGGGUGAUCGGCCACAUUGGGACUGAGGCACGGCCCAGACUCCUACGGGAGGCAGCAGUGGGGAAUAUUGCACAAUGGGGGAAACCCUGAUGCAGCAACGCCGCGUGAGUGAUGAAGGUUUUCGGAUCGUAAAGCUCUGUCUUCGGGGACGAUAAUGACGGUACCCGAGGAGGAAGCCACGGCUAACUACGUG